UAAAGGAGUAUGUUCGAUAAGGUCCUAAAAUGGCCCCAUUUUUUAGCGUAAAUUUCAAAUUCGGAUUUAUUUACCAAUAUCACGAUAAAUUAUAGCUAAUACAUUGACUGGAUAGGAUAUAAGCCAUUUUAUUGAAAAUUUCACAAUUCUGCGUUUCAUUAUGACGUCACAAGUUGUACUCAUAUUGAUUUUUCACGUAAAAAUCAAUGAAAAUGGGUAAAUUUCCAUAGAUUAUUGGAGAGGAAACAUAGAGCGCAUACGUCGACAACAAAGAUCUUUUAAAAUAAUGUUUGUGAAGACAUUUCACAUGUCUUAUUUGAAUAUUA
rnacentral:lncRNA from 1 species